rnacentral:lncRNA from 1 species
CUUGAUACCUUAUUUGACUUUUUGUGAAUCUUGUGAUAUCCCAGAUAAUAUUAUGAUGUCAUAUUGCUUGGCACGAUACAUGUGUCAGUAAUAUUACUUUCCGACACAAAAUGCUAAAAGAUGUUAGACCAUUAUUAUAAUGUCUUCUUAUUUUUUAUGAUUUUUUUUUUUGAUGAAUUUGGAAGCAGGAAAAGUAGCCACCUGUCAAUUUAUUGAGAGAC